GGGGAAUUUUCCGCAAUGGGCGCAUAGCCUGACGGAGCAAUACCGCGUGAGGGAAGAAGGCUCUUGGGUCGUAAACCUCUUUUGUCAGGGAAGAAGAAAGUGACGGUACCUGACGAAUCAGCCUCGGCUAACUCCGUGCCAGCAGCCGCGGUAAUACGGAGGAGGCAAGCGUUAUCCGGAAUUAUUGGGCGUAAAGCGUCCGCAGGUGGCUAGUCAAGUCGGCGGUCAAAGGCUGGGGCUCAACUCCAGAAAGGCCGUGGAAACUGACAAGCUAGAGGGCGGUAGGGGUAGAGGGAAUUCCCGGUGUAGCGGUGAAAUGCGUAGAGAUCGGGAAGAACAUCGGUGGCGAAAGCGCUCUACUGGACCGCAACUGACACUGAGGGACGAAAGCUAGGGGAGCGAAUGGGAUUAGAUACCCCA
rnacentral:rRNA from 1 species